CUUCCCUCUCGUAGCCCUCUCUCUCUAACCCCGAUCUGUGACUUGAAGACAUGUACAACGAGUAAUGCGUCCAGAUUUUGCUCAACAAUAAUUAAUAGAAAAGGGAAGCAAAAGGGGAGGAGUUAUGAGGCACCUAUGAAUUCACAUGAAAGUAGAGAAGAUAGAGUCAUAGACAAUGAUCAUGUAUAAUUCGUGUUUCUGCAUCUGAAUCAAAUCAUGGAUCAAGAGGAUGAAAUUUCAAGUGCAAGGUGUGCAUGUAGACAAUUAUGUGCACCACUAUGGAGGUGAAGUGCAGGGAGCAUGCGGAAGGAAAGCACCCCAAAUCUGAUGUUUAUACUUGCUUCUCCCAUCUCAAAAAAUGAAUUAAUGUGGAGAUGGAUUGAGAAUAAACUGGACUUGUAACGAAUGUAAACUGGACUUAUGGCUCUGGGGCUUAGUGGCUACUUUGUUAUGAUUGUAAAAAAUGUGAUGGACUCAUGUUUUGAUUAUCUAUCAGAUUUUUUGUUGUGGCUAUAAAGAAUAUGAUAGACUUGUGUUUUGAUUACCUAUCGGAUUUUUUUGAUUCCCUAUCAUAUAUUUUGUUCUAGUUGUAAAGAAGGUGAAGCACUUAUGUUUGAUUACU